rnacentral:lncRNA from 1 species
GUUUUUGCUCCAAGUCAGCCACUCCAUUAAUAGGAAUAUCAUAGCCACAUCUUUGAAAGUAAUGACACCACUGUUCUCUGGAGUGUGUUCAGGGUCUUACUCUGUCACUCAGCUUGAGUGCAGUGGUAUAAUCGGCUUACUGCAGCCUUGAGCUCCUGGGUUCAAGUGAUCCUCCCACCUCAGCUUCCCAAGUAGCUGGGACUACAGCUGGGACUACAUGAUCAAGCGAUCCUCCUGCUUCAGCCUCUCAAAGUGCUGGAAUUAUAGGUGAAAAGGACUAUACCUAGAAGAUGGUGAAACUCUGGGUUGGAAGGAAUUUGAGUCUUUGAGGGCUUCAUGGAAUCAAACUGCCAGAACAAUAUGGGAAUAAAUAUUUGCCUUCUUUAAACUGCUUUUAUUUUAGAUCUUUGUGAUUCAGCCAACCUAAUCAAAACCGAUCUAGAGGCUUGGACCUUAGUUAUUUUUUCUGAACUGAAAUGCAACCUGCCCUACAUAUUCUAUUAAGAAACUUAUAAACAACUAAUGUCUGUGUAGACUUUAUCAUAAUCCUCAGGAGCUUUAUAUAGACAGGACACCUGAAUUAGAAAGAGAAGCGUCCUCAGCCCUUUUAGACUCAAAGAUUCUACAGUGCACUAUUUUACUUGAAGAAUAUUCUUUUAAUAAAAAAUUAACAGAAAGUCAAUGCCUUGCCCUGAGACAAUUCUAAUAAAGUCAAUGAGUU